rnacentral:sRNA from 1 species
CGCAGCCGCGGUAAUUCCAGCUCCAAUAGCGUAUAUUAAAGUUGUUGCAGUUAAAAAGCUCGUAGUUGAAUUUCGGGAUCAGUAUGUCGGUCGUGCUUCGGUACGUACUGUCAUUACUGGUUUCUACCUUCUGAAGAACCAUGAUGUCAUUAAUUUGGUGUCUUGGGGAAUCAGGACUGUUACUUUGAAAAAAUUAGAGUGUUUAAAGCAGGCUCGCGCUUGAAUACAUUAGCAUGGAAUAAUGAAAUAGGACGUUUGAUUCUAUUUUGUUGGUUUCUAGGAUCGACGUAAUGAUUAAUAGGGAUAGUUGGGGGCAUUAGUAUUCAAUUGUCAGAGGUGAAAUUCUUGGAUUUAUUGAAGACUAACUACUGCGAAAGCAUUUGCCAAGGAUGUUUUCAUUAAUCAAGAACGAAAGUUAGGGGAUCGAAGACGAUCAGAUACCGUCGUAGUCUUAACCAUAAACUAUGCCGACUAGGGAUCGGAUGAUGUUAUUUUUAAUGACUCAUUCGGCGCCUUACGG